rnacentral:rRNA from 1 species
UAUACAAGGUGCUGCAUGGUUGUCGUCAGCUCGUGCCGUGAGGUGUCGGGUUAAGUCCCAUAACGAGCGCAACCCCUAUCAUAGUUGCCAUCAGGUCAAGCUGGGGACUCUAAUGAAACUGCCUACGCAAGUAGUGAGGAAGCGGGGAUGACGUCAAAUCAGCACGGCCCUUACGUCCAGGGCUACACACGUGCUACAAUGGCCGAUACAGAGGGCAGCUACCUGGUGACAGGAUGGCAAAUCUCCAAAGUCGGUCUCAGUUCGGAUCGGAGUCUGCAACCCGACUCCGUGAAGUUGGAUUCGCUAGUAAUCGCGCAUCAGCCAUGGCGCGGUGAAUACGUUCCCGGGCCUU